AAAAUAUAAACAAAAUCAUUCGAUAAAUACAUAUAAUGAACGGAUCUUAUUGACAAUGGAAUAAAACGAUGUGUUGCUCUGUAAA